CACUAUCGUUAACUGAAUACAUAGGUUAACGAGGCGAACCGGGGGAACUGAAACAUCUAAGUACCCCGAGGAAAAGAAAUCAACCGAGAUUCCCCCAGUAGCGGCGAGCGAACGGGGAGCAGCCCAGAGUCUGAAUCAGCUUGUGUGUUAGUGGAACGGUCUGGAAAGUCCGACGGUACAGGGUGAUAGUCCCGUACACCAAAAUGCACAGGUGUGAACUCGAAGAGUAGGGCGGGACACGUGGUAUCCUGUCUGAAUAUGGGGGGACCAUCCUCCAAGGCUAAAUACUCCUGACUGACCGAUAGUGAACCAGUACCGUGAGGGAAAGGCGAAAAGAACCCCGGCGAGGGGAGUGAAAAAGAACCUGAAACCGUGUACGUACAAGCAGUGGGAGCACCUUCGGGUGUGACUGCGUACCUUUUGUAUAAUGGGUCAGCGACUUAUAUUCUGUAGCAAGGUUAACCGUAUAGGGGAGCCGCAGGGAAACCGAGUCUUAACUGGGCGUUAAGUUGCAGGGUAUAGACCCGAAACCCGGUGAUCUAGCCAUGGGCAGGUUGAAGGUUGGGUAACACUAACUGGAGGACCGAACCGACUAAUGUUGAAAAAUUAGCGGAUGACUUGUGGCUGGGGGUGAAAGGCCAAUCAAACCGGGAGAUAGCUGGUUCUCCCCGAAAGCUAUUUAGGUAGCGCCUCGUGAACUCAUCUUCGGGGGUAGAGCACUGUUUCGGCUAGGGGGUCAUCCCGACUUACCAACCCGAUGCAAACUACGAAUACCGAAGAAUGUUAUCACGGGAGACACACGGCGGGUGCUAACGUCCGUCGUGAAGAGGGAAACAACCCAGACCGCCAGCUAAGGUCCCAAAGUCAUGGUUAAGUGGGAAACGAUGUGGGAAGGCACAGACAGCCAGGAUGUUGGCUUAGAAGCAGCCAUCAUUUAAAGAAAGCGUAAUAGCUCACUGGUCGAGUCGGCCUGCGCGGAAGAUGUAACGGGGCUAAACCAUGCACCGAAGCUGCGGCAGCGACACUAUGUGUUGUUGGGUAGGGGAGCGUUCUGUAAGCCUGCGAAGGUGUGCUGUGAGGCAUGCUGGAGGUAUCAGAAGUGCGAAUGCUGACAUAAGUAACGAUAAAGCGGGUGAAAAGCCCGCUCGCCGGAAGACCAAGGGUUCCUGUCCAACGUUAAUCGGGGCAGGGUGAGUCGACCCCUAAGGCGAGGCCGAAAGGCGUAGUCGAUGGGAAACAGGUUAAUAUUCCUGUACUUGGUGUUACUGCGAAGGGGGGACGGAGAAGGCUAUGUUAGCCGGGCGACGGUUGUCCCGGUUUAAGCAUGUAGGCUGUUUCCAGGCAAAUCCGGAUAACAAGGCUGAGGUGUGAUGACGAGGCACUACGGUGCUGAAGUAACAAAUGCCCUGCUUCCAGGAAAAGCCUCUAAGCAUCAGGUAACAUAAAUCGUACCCCAAACCGACACAGGUGGUCAGGUAGAGAAUACCAAGGCGCUUGAGAGAACUCGGGUGAAGGAACUAGGCAAAAUGGUGCCGUAACUUCGGGAGAAGGCACGCUGGUGUGUAGGUGAAGUCCCUGCGGAUGGAGCUGAGACCAGUCGAAGAUACCAGCUGGCUGCAACUGUUUAUUAAAAACACAGCACUGUGCAAACACGAAAGUGGACGUAUACGGUGUGACGCCUGCCCGGUGCCGGAAGGUUAAUUGAUGGGGUUAUCCGUAAGGAGAAGCUCUUGAUCGAAGCCCCGGUAAACGGCGGCCGUAACUAUAACGGUCCUAAGGUAGCGAAAUUCCUUGUCGGGUAAGUUCCGACCUGCACGAAUGGCGUAAUGAUGGCCAGGCUGUCUCCACCCGAGACUCAGUGAAAUUGAACUCGCUGUGAAGAUGCAGUGUACCCGCGGCAAGACGGAAAGACCCCGUGAACCUUUACUAUAGCUUGACACUGAACAUUGAGCCUUGAUGUGUAGGAUAGGUGGGAGGCUUUGAAGCGUGGACGCCAGUCUGCGUGGAGCCAACCUUGAAAUACCACCCUUUAAUGUUUGAUGUUCUAACGUUGGCCCCUGACCGGGGUUGCGGACAGUGUCUGGUGGGUAGUUUGACUGGGGCGGUCUCCUCCCAAAGCGUAACGGAGGAGCACGAAGGUUAGCUAAUCCUGGUCGGACAUCAGGAGGUUAGUGCAAUGGCAUAAGCUAGCUUGACUGCGAGCGUGACGGCGCGAGCAGGUGCGAAAGCAGGUCAUAGUGAUCCGGUGGUUCUGAAUGGAAGGGCCAUCGCUCAACGGAUAAAAGGUACUCCGGGGAUAACAGGCUGAUACCGCCCAAGAGUUCAUAUCGACGGCGGUGUUUGGCACCUCGAUGUCGGCUCAUCACAUCCUGGGGCUGAAGUAGGUCCCAAGGGUAUGGCUGUUCGCCAUUUAAAGUGGUACGCGAGCUGGGUUUAGAACGUCGUGAGACAGUUCGGUCCCUAUCUGCCGUGGGCGCUGGAGAAUUGAGGGGGGCUGCUCCUAGUACGAGAGGACCGGAGUGGACGCAUCACUGGUGUUCGGGUUGUCAUGCCAAUGGCACUGCCCGGUAGCUAAAUGCGGAAGAGAUAAGUGCUGAAAGCAUCUAAGCACGAAACUUGCCCCGAGAUGAGUUCUCCCUGAGACU
rnacentral:rRNA from 1 species